AGUGAACGCUGGCGGCGUGCCUAACACAUGCAAGUCGAACGGGGACUUGCCUGUAGCAAUACAGGCAGGGACUAGUGGCAAACGGGUGAGUAACACAUGGGAAUCUGCCUUGAAAAGGAAAAUAACUCCGAGAAAUCGGAGCUAAUGUUCCAUAAGAUCACAGCUCUUCCUCCGAGGAGCAGGGAUUAAAGCGUCGCAAGGCGCGUUUCAAGAGGAGCCCGUGGCCUAUCAGCUAGUUGGCGGGGUAAAAGCCCACCAAGGCGAAGACGGGUAGCUGGUCUGAAAGGACGAUCAGCCACACUGGAACUGAGACACGGUCCAGACUCCUACGGAGGCAGCAUG
rnacentral:rRNA from 1 species